CAGAUCCGCACUAUAUACCCAAUUUUUGCUUGAUUGUGCAGAUUUGUAAAAAUUUCGAUUUGGAGACGAGUUAGAAUAACCUUGUGAAUUAUUGCUAACCUUGCAAGAGGCAGACAAGGAGGGUCUGAUUGUUGCUGAGCCGAGCUCGUAAACGUCUCACUCAUGUGGUUUUGUGCUAUUCUGAAUCUUCUUCUCUAAAGUGUGUUGUUUCAGUUUCAGACACAAAUGUGUUGCGCUUGCAGUGCAUACCAAUGCAUAGUUUACCGAUGUGCAUGCAUGUUCAUUUGAUUUCACUCCAGUUUACCGAUGUGCAUACGUGUUCAUUUGAUUGCACUUCAGUUUACCAAUUCUUUUUACUAAUCCAAGUUCAACAUAAUGUCUGUAUUGUGCCCUCCAGACCUGAAAAUUCCUACUUUUGGUUAAUAAAUCAUGUUGUUCUCAAGACUCAACUAUGGAUGAUCAGAACAUUAGCAACCUUGAAGUAGCAGUUCUGUUAUGUUCAGAAUUUACUUAAAAUUGAAAUUUGAAAAGAGCAUGAGUUUUGGGCUUUAUUAUUCACCAGGAUCUUUUAGCGUGUGCCUGCAACCAUAGCUUCCAUCGUCAUUACCUUAGGUUUUUCUUUUUUCCAUAUGUUCGGCAAAGAAAAGUCUUCUAGCGUCAUUGCCUUAGUUUCUUUUCCAUAUGUAUGGCAAGUAAAAGUGACAUGCAUUUUAAAUCGUUGGAAGUAAGCUUUGAUGUGUUGUGAUAACAAUUAAUCAUGUACCUUCAUCUGCAUGAAGAGAUAAGAUUUUUCAUGAUUUUGUAUAUCCUUCAGUUUCUUGUUGUAACCUGAAGAAUUCACAAGCAUUCAUAUGUAGAAGUGAGUAGAAUUCAUAUGUAGCAGCGAGUCAUGUUUGUAUGUUUAUACAUUAGAGGUGUUUGUGCAUGAGUCAAUUGGUUGUAGCAGCAGGUAGCAAGUCUUCUCCAGAGUUGACAAAAAAUAUAUUAUUAGUGAUUACUGCAACUCUUUUUUAUUAUUACAAUUGAUUUUCGCAUUAUCUGAUUACUCCAUCAAUGAAUCGCCAUUUAAUCGUAUCUUUACGUAAGGUUAAACUUCUAUUUUUGUUUCCCUCAAGCAUACCAGGUCAAGCAUGGUAGAAAAGUUGAAUGUUUAAUACUUGUUAGAUAAGCUCAGGUUCAGCAGUUUCAGAACAUUUUCGAUAUACAAAUAGUGCUUCAGUUCAAGAAGACGUGUUAGUUUUGAAUUCUCCUUGUGAACACCUCUUUACUUCAGAGCAUCUAAAUAGUGAUGUACCUACUGUAGUUAGGACUUAAGAUGUAUCAGAACUUUUAAAGACAUUUUUCUAUAGUUAGGUUAAGAGAUAUAUGAUGGUGAUGCCAGUGGUUGUGCCUGCCUUAUCCAAAAGCCAUAUAUUUUUGCAAAAUAGAUUAUUACUUGAUGAGUUAUUUCGAAUUUGACCUCAAAAGUAAAGUAAUGAUGAAUCAGGAACUUCAUCUAAUCGUCACCCUAAAGAGCAUACUCCUUAUGUUACUAUUUCUUUCCCUAAUGAUGAACCAGGACCUCCAUUUAAUUCUGACCCUAGAUAGCAUGCUCCCUCCGCUACUAUUGUUUAUUUAAUGGCUGGCCAAAUGAGCUGCAGGAGCAAGAAUUGCAGGAUCAAAACAAAAAACCGGGGAAGAAUAUAAUGUCAGUGUGAUUUGUUGCCAACGGCAAUUCUCCACUGGAGCUCUAUGUACAGCAACAGAAAAAAAUGGAGUUUAGCCUUACAAAGAAGAAGCAGAAAAGAAACUCGGAAGUCCACCUUAUGCGCCUCUGCCUAGCUCAAGGCAUCAGCUGCAGCACCAAGCAUGCCAAGAAGUUUGCCUAUGGUGAGUGCAUGUUGGGUUAUGUGUUCGUGGCUUUCGCCACGGU